ensembl:lncRNA
CUUUCUUUCUGUUACACACAACAGAGGUUGAGUGUAUACGAUUUACUGACCGUUGCCCCCCCCCCCCAUAGCGGUGUCUUCCGUCAGAGACCAGCGCCCCUCGGUUCCGCCGCCCCCCACCACAGAGGUGACGGACGAGGAGCUGGUCCGGAUGGUCACUGAUGUAGAAAUGGCUGAUGCCUGAAGGAUAAAGGUAGGUUUAUCAGGUGAUGUAGCCGUCUUUGUAGGUGGUAGACGCGCCGUCCUCUCUCACGUGGUGGUAAUGUGGAUUUGAUUAAACUCCCAGUCUAGCAAACCUCGCCUUGUAACUAACAGUCGCCUUGUAGCACUAAACCAUUUUAUCUAAUCAACAGCAUGCUGCACGUCAUGAAUGCUCAGACUCACUUAGUCUCGCUUGCCCGUGUGUUGCCCCGUCACUCUCAUUGUGCUGAUGCCAUUUGGUUGUGCGUGACCGUGUCUGAAGCUGGCGUACAGGUCCUUCAGGCCCUCCCGCUCCCGCUGGUGACGCCUCCGACUCCACCUCCCCCGGCACCGUCCUCCACCCCACCACCACCACCACCACCACCACCACCACCACCACCACCACCACCACCACCACAAGUUGCGGCUGCUCCACCGACGGUCGGGCUUCCUGCUCGGGCUCCGGCGCAGACCAGGGUGGAGCCUCGUGGCGUCUCCGUGGAGGAGACGCCGUGCGGGGAGGCCACCCUGGCGCCGGAGCCGAAGAAGAAGAGGAGGAAGACGACGACGACGGGCGACGUGGAGCAGCCGGCAACGCCCGCUCCUGCUCGGGCUGAGACCCGGUUGCCUGAGGGCUGGCGGACAGCCCUCACCGGGGCAGAGCAGGAGUGGAUCGGCCGGGCGCUGUUCCAGCAGACCAGCGGGGGGUCCCUCAAGCUAACCACGGACCUCAAGCUGUGGUGGGACCCCCCCCAGCCCCGGCUGAACUAUACUCAGCCACCCGCCUCGGCGGCUGCCUUCUUCGCGUGUCGGUUGUUCCUCUGGGCGCCCCUGCACAUGUGGGGUCCCCGGCCGACAUGCUGCCAGAAACAUCUCACCAAGUGUGGGAUGUACAAGACCAUCCGGAAGGUCUUGGACAUCGACGGCUGGUACUUGAUGGCCACCGAGUACCUGGAGUGCCGUCGGUGUCGGAGGAAGGUAGCCGCCUGGUCGCAGGAGGUCGUGAGGCAGCUGGGAGAGGGGCAUCGCGCCCUCUUCCCGGCGAUCCUCACCUACAAGCUUGCCUGCGACCGGCGGGUCAUCAUCCAGCUGCGUGAGCGUACUCGGGGGGGAACAGCGCCACGCAGCUGCAAAAAAAACUCUGUGAGGCACACACAGAGGCCUGGAUGCGGCGGUCCAUACACUACCUCAGCGUCAUGGAGCCCUUCACGUCGACGGGUGUCGUGCGCCAGUGCACCCCACCGCCGAAACCAUCGCCAGACGUGCCGCAGUACGGCUGGCUGUUGGUGGUGUACUGCCACGACAUCCUGUCUCGCCUGGAGGACGUGAAGGCCCGGGGUCACCUCAGUCUUCGGAUCCAUCUUGAAGAUGGAUUCGACCAAGAAGGUGACCCGGAAGCUCGCCGGUGCCGCCGCCCAUACCGCAGCCUGGGCGACCAACGUGGGCAACGAGCACGGGCAGGUGCUAAUGUCCGUGCUCACGGCCACCGAGGGGGGUGGCCUGUUGCCCAUGGCCGCGGGGUUAAUGCGGCGGUACCGGGACGCUGGGGUAGCGCAGCCUCGCGUCCUCUACGUCGACCGGGACUGCUGUUCGUCCCACGGGGGGUCCAAGGCAGCUGCUGCGUUCCAGGAGUGGGACAAGCUGGUGGUCCGGUUGGACAUUUGGCACCUGAUGCGACGCUACGCGUCAGGUGUCACAACCGAGAGCCACCAGCUCUACAAGCCCUUCCUGCAGCAGCUGUCCGCCAGUAUCUUCCUGUGGGACCCAGAGGACACAGCCCGGUUGCUCAACGCCAAGAGGAGGACGCUAGAGGCGCAGGGGAUGACCUUCUCGUCCGAAGCCGGAGUGUGGAGGCACGUCAGCCGCAGGGAGAUGGCUCUCCAUUGCCGUCGCCGCACGCGUGGAGCUGCGGCGACCGAGCGGCUGAUUGAUGACCUCCUGCAAACCUUCGGCGGUGCCAACGGGCGAGACACCAUGGGGAUUCCCCUGCUGGACCGAGACCGCAUCCAGGCAAUCCGUGCGGAGCAGCGACGGCACCUCGAGUGCAUCCAGGACCCGCCGGGCGUGGAGCUGUACACGGAGACAGGCAGGCUGACC